rnacentral:rRNA from 1 species
CUACGGGCCGCACCAGUAAGGAAUAUUGCGCAAUGGAGGCAACUCUGACGCAGCCAUGCCGCGUGCAGGAAGAAGGCCUUAUGGGUCGUAAACUGCUUUUAUUUAGGAAUAAACCCCCGAACGUGUUCGGGGCUGAAGGUACUAAACGAAUAAGCACCGGCUAACUCCGUGCCAGCAGCCGCGGUAAUACGGAGGGUGCAAGCGUUAUCCGGAUUUAUUGGGUUUGAAGGGUGCGCAGGCGGGCUAUUAAGUCAGUGGUGAAAUCCCGGGGCUCAACUCCGGAACUGCCAUUGAUACUGAUAGUCUUGAGUUUGGUUGAAGUGGGCGGAAUGUAGCAUGUAGCGGUGAAAUGCAUGGAUAUGCUACAGAACACCAAUCGCGAAGGCAGCUCACUAAGCCAAAACUGACGCUCAUGCACGAAAGCGUGGGGAUCAAACAGGAUUAGAUACCCCCGUAGUC